GGAAAGGUGGCAGAGUGGUUCAAUGCAUCGGUUUUGAAAACCGACGUAGCUUCACGGUUACCGAGGGUUCGAAUCCCUCCCUUUCCG
rnacentral:tRNA from 1 species